UGGGCUGGACAUAAGGUCCUGGUCCACUGACUGGCGGGGAAUUUCCCC
rnacentral:sRNA from 1 species